CCUACGGGAGGCAGCAGUGGGGAAUCUUGCRCAAUGGRCGGAAGCCUGACGCAGCGACGCCGCGUGAGGGAUGACGGCCUUCGGGUUGUAAACCUCUUUCGACAGGGACGAAGGUGUGACUGACCGCGUACCUGUAGAANAAGCACCGGCUAACUACGUGCCAGCAGCCGCGGUAAU
rnacentral:rRNA from 1 species